rnacentral:rRNA from 1 species
ACGCUCGACACCUACGGGAGGGCAGCAGUUGGGAAUAUUGGACAAUGGAGGAAACUCUGAUCCAGUGACGCCGCGUGAAGGAAGAAGGUCUUCGGAUUGUAAACUUAUUUUGUCAGGGAAGAAAAAUGACUGUACCUGAAGAAAAAGCACCGGCUAACUACGUGCCAGCAGCCGCGGUAAUCUGAGCGGGCUGGCAAGGC